UACGAAGGGUGCAAGCGUUAAUCGGAAUUACUGGGCGUAAAGGGUGCGUAGGCGGUUCGUUAAGUCUGUCGUGAAAUCCCCGGGCUCAACCUGGGAAUGGCGAUGGAUACUGGCGAGCUAGAGUGUGUCAGAGGAUGGUGGAAUUCCCGGUGUGGCGGUGAAAUGCGUAGAGAUCGGGAGGAACAUCAGUGGCGAAGGCGGCCAUCUGGGACAACACUGACGCUGAAGCACGAAAGCGUGGGGAGCAAACAGG
rnacentral:rRNA from 1 species